GACAUAUGAUGCCAAGCAGAUUGGGUCAAAUCCUGUGGGGCAGCUGAACUGUUCUUAAAUAAUUCUCUCUGGAAACAAACUGUCCCAGCAAAACCAAUUUCAUAUGGCUUCUGUAGUGAAUGAGCUGGAGUGAGUCAGUAAAGAUAGACUGUUUUGAUUACUACAAACUGUAUUGACAUCCUGCAGUGUGGAGAGCUCGGUUAGUUUGGGUUCAAAGACUCCUGGAACUUUUAAAGAUUUGUUUCUGCCUGGAAGAUUUGUCUUAUGGUCUGGAUGCCAAUAAUUUAAGAGAGUCAAUCAUGGUCACAAAUCAGAUAAAAAGGUAAAUCGUCCCUCCAUACUUGCAUUUAUUUGUAGUAUUUUAUAUGGAAUGUGGU
rnacentral:lncRNA from 1 species